UACGGGGGGAGCAAGCGUUGUUCGGAUUUACUGGGCGUAAAGGGCGCGUAGGCGGCCUCCGCAAGUCGACUGUGAAAUCUCCGGGCUUAACCCGGAAAGGUCAGCCGAUACUGCGGGGCUAGAGUGCGGAAGGGGCAACUGGAAUUCUUGGUGUAGCGGUGAAAUGCGUAGAUAUCGAGAGGAACACCUGCGGCGAAGGCGGGUUGCUGGGCUGACACUGACGCUGAGGAGCGAAAGCCAGGGGAGCAAACAGG
rnacentral:rRNA from 1 species